GAAAUCCUUGUGCUUCCAAGCUAAAAGGAGGCUAUCGAGGAGUGGAGGACUGUCUUCUGUUUUCCUACUAAAUUGACACACUCGAUCACUCAGUGUUACAACAUAUAUUUGUAGAAAACAGAGCGAGCAGUGGCGCGUAUGAGAGCCACUAGCCACCGCUUACUCCUUAUCUCCCGACAGUGCAGUAGCGCAAAUCAGUUUUAUUCCAGAUGGUGUCAACAUUUUAUUUUCAAGCAUUUGAGUAGAAUGACUUAGUCACUAGGUCAUUCUACAAAACAUUUUUUUGUAGCAUUGCCACAGCUGAUGACAAAAAAAAAUCCCAGCAAAACUUGCUUAAAAAUAUACAUUUGAUAUCACGGAUGGAAAGUGUCACGAUAUUCCUCCUCUUCGUCUGAAGAGGAGACGAGAAGGAUCGGAGGACCAAUAUGCGGCAUGAUAGGACCAUUCACACAGUUCAGUCACUCAGCUAUAUCCAGUGGACAUGAUGCUAUAAAGGUCCUGCACUACCACCCCCUACAACAUCCUGAUGAGAAGCAUUAACCCUAGCCCCAUGACUGAACUGGAACACACUGCCUUACACGUUGAUCCAGAGCAUCCCAAACAUGUUAAACGGGUGACAUGUCUGGAUACAUCAGAGGAAGUUGUCUUGCUGUUGGCACCAAUUCCAUCUUACUAAACUUUGUUCUCUCUUGUUCAACUGCCCAACUGCCCAAUGUUUAAAUUUGCUUCAAAUAUGUUUUUUUACUGAAGGAUGACAGAUGACACUUGUAUGGAGGGCUGUCGGUGUGGGGGAGAGAAUGGAUGUAGAUGGGUUUGGUUGAAGAAACUCCCUCUCCCCUACCUCCCUUCCUAAAAGUGAAUGUUAUUGCUGCAUUUUACCUGUGACCCCAAAUCAAAUAUUUUAUGAGUCACAAGCUAAGACAAAAACACACAU